rnacentral:rRNA from 1 species
GGUUUGAUUCUGGCUCAGAUUGAACGCUGGCGGGAUGCUUUACACAUGCAAGUCGAACGGCAGCACGGACUUCGGUCUGGUGGCGAGUGGCGAACGGGUGAGUAAUGUAUCGGAACGUGCCUAGUAGCGGGGGAUAACUACGCGAAAGCGUAGCUAAUACGCCCUUCGGGGGAAAGCGGGGGACCUUCGGGCCUCGCACUAUUAAACAGCCGAUAUCGGAUUAGCUAGUUGGUGGGGUAACGGCUCACCAAGGCGACGAUCCGUAGCUGGUUUGAGAGGACGACCAGCCACACUGGGACUGAGACACGGCCCAGACUCCUACGGGAGGCAGCAGUGGGGAAUUUUGGACAAUGGGGGAAACCCUGAUCCAGCCAUCCCGCGUGUGCGAUGAAGGCCUUCGGGUUGUAAAGCACUUUUGGCAGGAAAGAAACGGCACGGGAUAAUACCCCGUGCAACUGACGGUACCUGCAGAAUAAGCACCGGCUAACUACGUGCCAGCAGCCGCGGUAAUACGUAGGGUGCAAGCGUUAAUCAGAUUACUGGGCGUAAAGCGUGCGCGAGCGGUUCGGAAAGAAAGAUGUGAAAUCCCAGAGCUUAACUUUGGAACUGCAUUUUUAACUACCGAGCUAGAGUGUGUCAGAGGGAGGUGGAAUUCCGCGUGUAGCAGUGAAAUGCGUAGGUAUGCGGAGGAACACCGAUGGCGAAGGCAGCCUCCUGGGAUAACACUGACGCUCAUGCACGAAAGCGUGGGGAGCAGAAGCAGGAUUAGAUACCCUGGUAGUCCACGCCUAAACGAUGUCAACUAGCUGUUGGGGCCUUCGGGCCUUGGUAGCGCAACUAACGCGUGAAGUUGACCGCCUGGGGAAGUACGGUCGCAAGAUUAAAACUCAAAGGAAUUGACGGGGACCCGCACAAGCGGUGGAUGAUGUGGAUUAAUUCGAUGCAACGCGAAAACCUUACCUACCCUUGACAUGUCUGGAGUCCCGAAGAGAUUUGGGAGUGCUCGCAAGAGAACCGGAACACAGGUGCUGCAUGGCUGUCGUCAGCUCGUGUCGUGAGAUGUUGGGUUAAGUCCCGCAACGAGCGCAACCCUUGUCAUUAGUUGCUACGAAGAGGCACUCUAAUGAGACUGCCGGUGACAAACCGGAGGAAGGUGGGGAUGACGUCAAGUCCUCAUGGCCCUUAUGGGUAGGGCUUCACACGUCAUACAAUGGUCGGGACAGAGGGUCGCCAACCCGCGAGGGGGAGCCAAUCCCAGAAACCCGAUCGUAGUCCGGAUCGCAGUCUGCAACUCGACUGCGUGAGGAAGUCCGGAAUCGCUAGUAAUCGCGGAUCAGCAUGUCGCGGUGAAUACGUUCCCGGGUCUUGUACACACCGCCCGUCACACCAUGGGAGUGGGUUUUACCAGAAGUAGUUAGCCUAACCGUAAGGAGGCGAUUACCACGGUAGGAUUCAUGACUGGGGUGAAGUCGUAACGAGGUAG